AUCAAGUGGCUUUGGUGUGUAUUCUUGUGCUACAUCUUGUAGCAAGUCUCAUUCGUAUGACCACGUUUCUUACAAUAGUUACAGAACAUAGAAGAAUCUCCUUUACUAGGCUACACCGAUGUUAAAACCAAGGGAGCCACAUGUGAUUGUGUCACUACAAGAGAUGACACAUUGGACGCCCCUCCCUAGAUAGGCAUAGAACGAGAGCUCCCAAU
rnacentral:lncRNA from 1 species